rnacentral:rRNA from 1 species
AUGCUAGAGGAGGUUGAGGUUAGUGAGGCAGAAACAAAACAUGUUGUAUCCCAAGCAAGUCAAGCUGGCAAUGAUAUUCUUGUAAAGGCGGCGAAGCUAAAAGAAAUGUCUACACUAGCAGUGGAAGAGAACAACAAGGUUGCAGCAGAGGUUUUUGCUGAGAAAUCUAUUCUAGCCUCAGAAGCUCAGGGGCUCCAGUCCUGGUUGUUUGACAUUUCUGAAGAACGAAAACACUUCGUGUCGGUCAUUGACGAGAUGCACCGGACUCUUCAAAGAAGACUUGAUUUAGCAGAAGCAGAAAGAGCAGCUGCUGAGAUGGAAAUGAUUGAAAGGGAAAAAAUGGCUCAAGAAAUGCUGAAAGAACAGGAAGUCCUACUUGAUGCUGCCAAGGAAGAGUCUAAGAAGCUGGAGCAACAGGCAGAGGAGAAUGCAAAGCUGCGGGAGCUACUGAUGGACAGGGGCCAUGUUGUUGAUGAAUUGCAUGGAGAAAUGCUUGGAAUCUUCGGCAACAUUACGCAGCUCCAACGUAGAGUUGAUAUGCGAGUCCCUGCCGAGCAACUAGCUUCGUCGAUACUGUCCAGCUCAGUCGAGUCAGCAGCUGGCCAAUCCCCUGCUGAAGAACCACUGCAGCUCGCUCCAAUGAGCUUUCCCAGCCCGGUCCAAUCAGCACAUUCCGGGCUAAUUUAUGUUGAUGAGCCACUGGAACUAGCUUCAUCGAGCUUAGCAGGCUCGGUCGUAUCAGCGCCUUCAAAACUACUUCCUACUGGUGAAUCGCUGGAGCUAAGUUCAUCGAGCUUGGUCGGCUCCGUCGUAUCGGCACCUUCCAAACUGUUCUCUGUCUGUGAGCCACUUCAGCUAGCUUCAUCGAGCUUGUCUAGCUCUGUCAGAUCGGUGAUUUCGGAGAGCAGCUGGUCUUCUGCCACGGAGUCGAAUUCAGGUUUCAAUGAUGAGGAGGAGAUCGCUGUUGCUUCUCCCCGUGACAAUUUUGCUCUGGACGACACCUGGGAUGUAGUCGAAGAAGACGAGGAAUGCGUGUGCUAA